rnacentral:rRNA from 1 species
UACGGAGGGGGCGAGCGUUAUUCGGAAUUAUUGGGCGUAAAGGGCGCGUAGGCGGCCCGGUAAGUCAAAGGUGAAAUCCCUCGGCUCAACUGAGGAACUGCCUUUGAAACUGUCGGGCUUGAGGCCGGGAGGGGGUAGCGGAAUUCCCAGUGUAGCGGUGAAAUGCGUAGGAUACUGGGGAGGAACACCAGUGGCGAAGGCGGCUACCUGGACCGGUUCUGACGCUGAUGCGCGAAAGCGUGGGUAGCAAACAGG